GACGAACGCUGGCGGCGUGCUUAACACAUGCAAGUCGAACGGAAAGGCCCUGCUUUUGUGGGGUGCUCGAGUGGCGAACGGGUGAGUAACACGUGAGUAACCUGCCCUUGACUUUGGGAUAACUUCAGGAAACUGGGGCUAAUACCGGAUAGGAUCUCCUGCUGCAUGGUGGGGGUUGGAAAGUUUCGGCGGUUGGGGAUGGACUCGCGGCUUAUCAGCUUGUUGGUUGGGUAGGGGCUUACCCAGGCUUUGACGGGUAGCCGGCCUGAGAGGGUGACCGGGCACAAUGGGCCUGCGAUACGCCGCAGUCUCCUACGGGAGGCAGCAGUGGGGAAUCUUGCCCAACGGGCGGAAGCCUGAUGAAGAAACGCCGCGUGCGGGAUGACGGUCUUCGGGUUGUAAACCGCUUUCGCCUGUGACGAAGCGUGAGUGACGGUAAUGGGUAAAGAAGCACCGGCUAACUACGUG
rnacentral:rRNA from 1 species